rnacentral:snoRNA from 1 species
AAUUUAAAAAAUAAUGGACCAAACACACAAGAAGAAAAGUAACUACACUGGAUCCCAAAGAUUGGGGUGGACUUCUUUCUUAAUGUCCAGUGUCCUUUGUCUUAAGAUUUGGUGUAAUAUAA